UUCUAGGGAGCUGGGAGAAGGGUUUUGUUUGGUGGGACUGUUUGUGAUGGGUGAGGUCCAGCUCCGAGCAGCGCCGCUCUCCACUACAGCAGUAAGUGUCUGAUGAUCCCAUGGGUGAUUCGGUGCCUUCACAGUGCCCUGGAAAGUGCCUGCUCUGCACCUCGGGCAGUUUGGUGGAGUUAGGCUGACUUCAGACAGGAUGAUCUUCUACGACUUUUCUGCGACUUCAAAAGAGGCCUCUGAAGGGAAGGACCAGGCCCGUCUUUGGCUUUUGACUCCGCAGACGGAACAUCCCUUUAAGGGGAAUCCUGUCCCAAAGAGUUCUCUGUGAAUACUGGACCAUCCUUUUUGAUGUGGUGUGAAAUCCAAGCUUGUAUCAACCACUGCCAUGUGCUGGUGUUUGAGCAGACAGAGAGAAGAGCUCAGCUCUCCAGAUCCAAAAAUAAAACCAGACAUACCCCACCCUCUCCAAGGUGUUUGGAUAGUCCAAAUCUUCAUGCA